rnacentral:rRNA from 1 species
UACAGAGGGGGCAAGCGUUGUUCGGAAUUACUGGGCGUAAAGGGCGCGUAGGCGCCUUCUAAGUCGAACGUGAAAUCUCCGGGCUCAACCCGGGAACUGCGUCCGAGACUGGAAGGCUCGAAUCCGGGAGAGGGAUGUGGAAUUCCAGGUGUAGCGGUGAAAUGCGUAGAUAUCUGGAGGAACAUCGGUGGCGAAGGCGGCAUCCUGGACCGGUAUUGACGCUGAGGCGCGAAAGCCAGGGGAGCAAACGGG